rnacentral:rRNA from 1 species
UACGUAGGGUGCAAGCGUUGUCCGGAAUUAUUGGGCGUAAAGAGCUCGUAGGUGGUUUGUCGCGUUGUCCGUGAAAACUCACAACUCAAUUGUGGGCGUGCGGGCGAUACGGGCAGACUGGAGUACUGCAGGGGAGACUGGAAUUCCUAGUGUAGCGGUGGAAUGCGCAGAUAUCAGGAGGAACACCGGUGGCGAAGGCGGGUCUCUGGGCAGUAACUGACGCUGAGGAGCGAAAGCGUGGGGAGCGAACAGG